rnacentral:rRNA from 1 species
UACGUAGGGUGCGAGCGUUGUCCGGAAUUAUUGGGCGUAAAGAGCUCGUAGGCGGUGUGUCGCGUCGGUCGUGAAAACUUGGGGCUUAACCCUGAGCUUGCGGUCGAUACGGGCAUCACUGGAGUUCGGCAGGGGAGACUGGAAUUCCUGGUGUAGCGGUGAAAUGCGCAGAUAUCAGGAGGAACACCGGUGGCGAAGGCGGGUCUCUGGGCCAUUACUGACGCUGAGGAGCGAAAGCGUGGGGAGCGAACAGG